rnacentral:lncRNA from 10 species
GAGUAUUUUAUGCAUGUGAGUUUAUAUGUGUGAGUAGGUGCGUGAGUGUGGGUAUAUGCGUAAGUGUGUGUGUGUAACAAUGAGCAUGUGUGAGAAUGUAUGGUUGCAUGUGUGUUGGCAUGAACAUGAAUGCAUUGUGUGCACAUGUGUGAAUGAUCAUGUGUGCCUGCAGGCGUGUGUGUCUGCAAGUGUGUGUGUGUGGGGAGGGGCGUCCACCAUUGCUGAGGCUUGAGCAGGCAGUUUUAUGCUCACAGUGCAAACAAAGCAGCAGGGAAGCUCAAACUGGGCGGAGCCCACCGCACCUCAGCAAGGUGCCUCUA